GUCCUUGCUACUCUCGCGAGAUUUUGUGAGAAUAGCAAGGACUUCCUUGUUCCGUGGCAAGCGACCCAAUGGUUGCCGUGGCGAGAGCACCCAGCAAAGGCUGCGCCCCAAGCGGUGGCUCCAACGGCUUCAAUUACAAACCGGCCCUGACUUCGAUCCUUAAAAAUGGAACACAAAUUAUGGCUCUAUACCUAAUUUCAGGGCCCAAACUAUUUUUAAAGUCUUGCUGUCUCUUUCAGGCAUGAUAUAGGCUUCCCAAAAUACCAGCAUCCCAUUCCAUAAAAUGUCAGGGCAAAAGCACUGUUGUAAUGGAAGAAAGAGAGAAAUACUAGGCUAUUUUAAAUGGGAUUUCAGAGAAUUGAGUUAGAAAAUCAUCAUCAAAUCUGGACAGUAGGAGCAUAUUUUGGUUUGUAAAAUAUGUUUGAGGUGAUUAUCCACCUGGAUGUACAUAUCUCUCCCUGCAUUCUCUCUGGACCAAAACUGUUUGUCCUAGGACGCUUGGACUUCAGUGGUGGCAUGGAACCCGCUGGCUCCCAUCACACAACACAGAUCAACUUCUAGUGGGGCUCCAUACCUCAACUGAAGUCCAGAUGUCACAGAAGGAGGUGGUGGCAACACGGGAGGCUUCCUGUGUUGCAUAAGAAACAACAAGGGGAAGCCAGGCGGCAACGCUUCCACCCGUGGAAUUAGGUGCGGGGCAAGGCGGGCAAUGUGGGGCACAAGGCAACAGGUUCCCCACUCCCCAUGCUUGGCCCACCCAGUUCACCACGGUCCGUAUUGAAUUGGGGGGUGAAUGUGAUGUGGUUAUCUCUCUCAGUCUCAAUCUCUCUCUCUCUCUCUCUAACUACAGCUCUCAGGACCCAGCAGCCAGCAUGGCCAGGAAGAAAGUGAGAAGCCGCUUCUCGGCUCUCACGGCUGGCGGGCUGUUUUCUGGGAACCUGGGCUUCUCUCCAAGGCUGCUGCUGGUGGACGGCCACCCUCCCAGAGAGAGAGAGAAAUACAGUUUCUUCAAGGACCAGCUGCGAUCCUUGCAAUGACAAGAACUCCCGGACGGACUUCUUUCAUUCACUCCUUCAUCUACAUUAUUAUGAAUGACCGGACAUCUCAUUCACAUACUUGUCUUCAGUUCUGUGGAUCGCCGGGCUACCAAGAAAAGAAAUCAACCAGAAUCCCUUCACUUUGUUAUUUCCAUGAACCUCCUAUUGCCUGAACUGCUUAUGAACUUUCCAUGAAUUGCAUGCUUAUAUGUUUAUGAAAUAUUGGGAUCAAUUCUUUAUUAGCUGAUUAACCGAAGCUAAUUUGGUCUAUGGGUUCCCUGGAAAACCCCCAAACCCACAUAUUUCCCUCUUAUAUAUAAGAUAUUACAGAAAAACCUGGGUUCCUUCCUUCGCUUUAAAACCGGAGGGAAUCUGAAUCUCCCCCGGUUCUCAGGAAACUCGCGAUAUCCCACACCCCCCCCCCAGCCUAUACUUUCACUCAGAACUCACUCAACUUCGCACCAAAAAACACCCUAAUUCAUAUUUAUGUCUAAAAUUGCCUAACCUUUAAAAGACAACCAACAGAGAUCAUUUUUUUCCAUUUCUUCUUCAAUCAUCAGCUGAUUGUCAAACCUGCGUUACUUGCCUAAGCGCCUCCCGCCGUACGCUAUUAGCGCAGGAAAGGAAAAAUAAGCUAUAAACGCUAAUAUUUAGUAUAUUUUUCGGCAAUUUUGGGUGGAAAUUGAUAAGAUAUGAUUUUCUAUAUUCCCUAGUAUAUUUCAAUCAAAGAAGGCACAGUCUGAACUCUAGCUGACCCGGAAAUCCCUGCCUUUCCUCACCCUAGAUUCUGGGCUUCGCACAAAAGAGGAUAAACUGUCACCAUGAAAUCUUAUCUAUUUGCAUCUGCAUGACCCAUAGCUAGAGAUUGUCACCUUAGAUUGGAGCAGCCCCACGGGUCAUUGUAUCUCAUAUGGUAAUGUUGACCACAAUCCCAUCCUGGACCCCUGGGGAGCCAAAGGAAGACUCCCCACUGGUCCUGUUUCUGUAAUCCCAUAGUGUCAAUAUAAACUGACAUCUCCGCCAUACCUCAAGGUAUUCAUGAACUGUGUACGUGCGUAAAGGACCCCGGACAUCCCAAAUGACCCUAUUCAAAAACAGCAAUAAUCUUAAGAUUAUUUUGGAAGGCGCUAGCCUCAGGUGGUCGCUUUUGCAUAAGAUAACCCCAAUGAUUCAUUCACCAGAACCCAUUGUCUAGUUGACUCCCGCCUUCCCCAACCUGAUUGGCCCUGGCAGAGGCGAAGGUUGUCCCUCAUUGGCUGAGACGCAGAGCAGGAAUCCUAGCUCCCGCCUAGUGUGACACUCUCGACCUAUCAGCAGCAGAUGAGCAAAGGGACGGGGCGGGAAGUUCAAAUAGGCUUCAAACUUGAAAAAUGUAUAAAAUGGCUUUAUUUUCCAAUGUAUCGUUACAUCUUACAUGUCGAUCUAUCGCUGCUGGAUGUCCGUUCAGCUGAAUCGCUAAAUAAACACUUUGGCAGUUUUUUUUCCUUCAA